GCUUACGGUCACACUACCCUUGAGAACGCCCGAUCUCGUAUUGAUCUCGGAAGCUAAGCAGGGUUUGGCCUGGAGUACUUGGAAAUGGGCGACCACUGAAAAUACCAUGUGCUUAAGCU
ensembl:rRNA 5S_rRNA 5S ribosomal RNA